rnacentral:rRNA from 1 species
UUGGCAACACCCAAGUGCAAGGGGGGCAUGGGAUUUCGAGACCCACACUUUUUUAACCUUGCAAUGCUUGGCAAGCACGGAUGGAGGUUGGUGACAAGUCCGGACUCCCUCUGCGCUAGAGUAUUGAAAGGGAGGUACUUCCCCGAUUCUGAAUUUAUGCAGGCGUCAGCACCCAAGUCAGCUUCUGCUACUUGGAAGGCAAUUAUAGCGGGGAGGGAAGCUUUGAGAACCGGGUUGACCACCCGUGUUGGAGAUAGCACUACUAUCUUGGUCUGGAAUGACAAGUGGAUUCCAGGUACGAUUACUAUGACACCCGCAACACGACCACCGAACACUGACAUUCAGCUAGUGUCGGAGCUUAUUGAUUCUCAAACCUGGUCGUGGAGGCAGGAUUUGGUCAGAGAAAAUUUCAGUGCUUCCGAUGCUGCGGCCAUUCUAAACAUCCCUAUCAGGUCGGGCGGUGGCACUGAUUUCCUUGCUUGGGCUUUUGAAAAAUCAGGCAACUACACUGUCAAAACAGCAUACCGGUCUCUUGUGACUCAGAACGACCGUUUGGCUCUAGAGGAAGGGACGGCUACCGGAACCUCAUUGAGUGAUCAACAGUUGUGGAAAGGCCUGUGGAAGUUGAAUGUAAUUCCAAAAGUCAGAGUGUUUUGGUGGAGAGUUCUUCGAGGGAUUCUUCCAGAUGAAGCAACACUAAAUCAUCGACACAUUGCAGAUGCUCGUUAG